GGAGAGGUGGGUGAGUGGCUGAAACCAGUUGUUUGCUAAACAACCGUACGGGGUAAACCCGUACCGCGGGUUCAAAUCCCGCCCUCUCCGCCA
rnacentral:tRNA from 1 species